rnacentral:SRP_RNA from 1 species
GCCGGGCGCGGUGGCUCAAGCCUGUAAUCCCAGCACUUUGGGAGGCCGAGACGGGCGGAUCACGAGGUCAGGAGAUCGAGACCAUCCUGGCUAACAUGGUGAAACCCCGUCUCUACUAAAAAAUACANNNNNNNNNNUGUAUUUUUUAGUAGAGACGGGGUUUCACCAUGUUAGCCAGGAUGGUCUCGAUCUCCUGACCUCGUGAUCCGCCCGUCUCGG